UACAGAGGUCCCGAGCGUUGUUCGGAUUCACUGGGCGUAAAGGGUGCGUAGGUGGCUUGAAAAGUUUGAUGUGAAAGCUCAGGGCUUAACCCUGAAAUGGCAUUGAAUACUGUCGGGCUGGAGGUUUGGAGGGGGGACUGGAAUUCUUGGUGUAGCAGUGAAAUGCGUAGAUAUCAAGAGGAACACCAGUGGCGAAGGCGAGUCCCUGGACAACACCUGACACUGAGGCACGAAAGCUAGGGGAACAAACAGG
rnacentral:rRNA from 1 species